UGAAAGCUUGUCCUUUACAUCUACCUACCAUCCUCUUCAUAUCUUCCACACAAGCCACCUACCAAAACUAUCUACUAUUCCACCCACCCACUAAUUUUGUCCAUAAAUUUCCUUCACAACAAAAGAACAAAACACAUAUAAUGAAUCAACAAAUUCAGUAGGCAUAGAGGACAUACUAUGUGAAUAACAUAUCAAGAUAGAAUAUGGAGGAUGACUAAAGAUUGUAUCUGGUGGCAAACUUUCCGGUGACAAUACAGAAAAAGAGGUCCAAUAUUAGUGAGCAGGUAGAUGUGAGAACAUGUGAGGCAUGGGUAGAUGAUCUUGAAGCUGGCUGUAGUUUACCCAUAGUGGAUACUUAUUUUAGACAUUUGUUAAACGUUAAGAUGUUUAUGUAUUGAAUUGAUAUUGUGAUCGGUUGUUUAAUUUUGGGCAACCGAUGAGUUUCCAAUUGAACUUAUUUUGAUGAUAUGGCUAGUAACACCAUUUAGUGAAUGAACCAAAAA